CCGGCUGUGUGUGCUCUGGGGUGCCUGCCCCGCCACAGGGAAGAAUAAACCCAGACUCAAAUCAUAGGAAAUUCAUCAAAUGUGCUUCUCAGAGCUCUGUCUUUCAAGGUCUGUUUCCUUGCCAUAUGAUCUCUAUAAACCAAAUCACUGUUAGCCAGGGCACAGGACCAGAGGCGCCGGAGGCUCAUGGAUAAUGAAUGCCAAAUGCAUGUGACAAUAGACUGAUCAGAAAGCAGAAUAGAAAUUUCUGAGUUGUGCUUUUAUAUAUGUAUACACACACAGACAGGCACACACCUAUGUGUGUGCACACACUCAAGCACACACACAUGCAUGCAUAUCACACACACACACACACACGGGUCAAGCACACAAUAUAUCUUAAUGUAUAAAGGCCAGUUGUGGUCCUUGGUGCCAGAUUCAGAUAACUCAUCUCUCAGUUACUUUGUCAAGACAAAGAAGCCUGUGGAUCAGAAGGAUAAAAUGGAAGAGGAAAACAAAUCAGAACCCCGUUUAGCUGGGGACACUCAAUGUGGAGGAGGCACAGAUUUGACUUUGAAAUUUAGGAUGCCUUGCACUCAGCAACUAACACAGGACACAGCACACAAGGGGGCCUCAACUGAAAAAUGAAAAUCAAGGACUUAUUCCUGGGCACCAAAGGUCUGACCAACCCCUUCACUCACUAACCAGUUUCCAGUGUGACCAAGACAGAGAACACAGGACAGAAACUAGCAGGCCACCAGCUGAAGGCAAAAAGGUAAUUAAUGUUAUAGCCUUUUAGAUUCUAGAAAAUACUGCACUUAAAACUGCAAGUCAACUAAGCGGCUGUCGGCAACCGAUAAAUGCUUCCAUAUUCACAGGCAUCAGCAGUCUUCCCGUUACAAAAAAAGUAAUAAUACAUACAUAUUAAUGGAUCACAUUUUGUCCUUUGGGGAGCAUAAUUUUUAAAAGGGCCAAGGCAGCAAUAAUAGUUCCUUUAAAAAUUCUAAAUGCUGUAAUUGUUUUCUCUGAAUUAUGGUGCUAGGAUUUAAUUAGUGAUGAAUGUUCGGUAUGGGGUUUAGACAUUUUUGAUGAAUUCAGCCAAACAGAAAAGUAGUCUUGUCCUUAUUGCUCCCACCCGGGCCCCCGCCCUCUUUUCUUCCUUAGAAUCCUGAAAUGUGCGUGUGCAAGAGCACAUGUCUACGAAGGGAUUUUAUUUUCUGCAGUUUCACUGUAGCUAAGAAGGAGAUUGCCUUAACCACAGUUCAACAAGGAACAUGAAACAUGGUCAGUGAGGUCAUGCAAUUCAGCACAAGUUUUGAGGUUUUCUGGUUAUAAGGAGGAAAAAUAAUAAAAUGUAAAUGGUAGAAAUUUCUUUUUGGCGAUGUUCUUAUCAUUAUCAGCGUGGUUCUGAAGGCCAUACUCUUCCUUGCAAACAAAUGGGCCAAUCAGCGACUCAGGUGAGAAAAAGA
rnacentral:lncRNA from 1 species